UUAAAUUUAAAAGUUCUAAACUGCCCAGUAACGAAUUCUUCUGCGAUUUUAGAACUUAUAAAUUUAGCUUCAUAAAACGCUAACGUUAAAUUCAAUUUA